UACUAACUGUAUUUUGAAAUUAGAAGAAAAAGCAAAAAAUGAACAGUACCAGACUAUUUUAUGAUUAAGAGUCAAUAAAUGGUAGAAACAAGAACAAAUAUUAGAAACUUUCAUGGAAGACAGCAUUUGCAUCCUAAGGAUGUACACAGGAUUUGGACUACUGCCGGGCAGAUGUUACAGGUUGGGAAGCAGAAUGCACAUGGCUUAGAGAUGAGAAUUAUAUGAGAGUGUUGAUAGGACAAGAGGAAAACUCCCUUGCUGAAGUUGAAGUAUUCUCAUUGUGGAAUUCUGGGAAUUAAGUGUGGGCAGGAGGGUAGAUGUACAGGUAGCAGCAGACAUAACAGACUCAGGAAAGCUGGAUCAAAAUCCAGCAACAGGAAGAGCCAGGAAGAAACUGAUCUGCAGAACACAAGAGGGCUCAGGACUGCCACAGCCACACCUGGUACCAAGAAGUAAGAGCUACAAUCAAAAGGAUUAGACAAACGUCUGUUUCAGAGACAGACGCCAGCAUUCCUCUCCCUCACUGCGACCAGCUGGACCAGUUCGUUCCGAACCCAGCUGAUAUAGUUUGGGUAUUUGUCCAAAUCUUCUGUUGAAAUAUGAUUCCCAGUGUUGGAUGUGGGGCCUAGUGAGAGGUGUCUGGGUCAUGGGGAUGGAUCCCUCAUGAAUAGCUUGGUGCCCUCCCCACAGGAAUAAGUUCCCCAGAGAUCUGCUUGUUCAAGAGGUCGGGAGCUCCCUCCUCUCUCGUUCCCGCUCUAUGUGAUAAGCCUGCCCCCACUCUGCCUUCCGCCAUGACUGUAAGCUUCCUGAGCCGUCACCAGAAGCCGAUGACAGCACUUAUGCUUCCUGUAGUCUGCAGAACUGCCUAGCUGAGGACCCUGAGGGCAGAGGUGAGGUCCCGCCUUCCCACGCUGUCAGCAGGCGUCACGGUGGAAACUAGCUGAGGACCCUGAGGGCAGAGGUGAGGUCCCGCCUUCCCACGCUGUCAGCAGGCGUCACAUCACGGUGGAAACUAGCUGAAGACCCUGAGGGCAGAGAUGAAGUCCCGCCUUCCCACGCUGUCAGCAGGCGUCACAGUGGAACAGUGAUGCUUUCAGACAUGCAAGUCUCAACAUUGUUCUCCGUCACAUACUCCUCAAAUCUCCACUAGAAGAUAUGUUCCAUUAAAAUAAAAAAAAUCCAAAAAAGAAUAUGACACAAAAUCCAUGAAGGAGGGGAUCCAAUAUGAGAGAGACAGAGGGACCAGAGGGACCUCCAGGAUGAUCCUGACUCGAGAUCCCAAGAUGCCAGCUGUGCUGCCAACAUAAGGAUUAUAUAGUCGAGAUUAGCACAGGCCAGAAAUGUCCAGAAGAGAUUUCCUCAAGAUGAAAUGGAUAGAAUACCUCAGAGAGACUGGGACCAGUGCUGGAAGCAACACAGCCGAAAUGCAGCGUUGUUGAGAGAGGGCUCCUAAACUGGAUUUUGGAGGAACUGAAUUCAGAAUGAUCAAAGUACAACCAAAUGUACUUGAGACGUCCACAGCCAGUUCAGACAUGGGGCUGGAAUGAUGUGUCAAAGCCCACAGAAUGUAGAACACCCAGAGUGAACCCUAAUGUGAACAUGGACUUCGGAUGAUGAUGUCGGUUCAUCGAAACACCCAGAGUGAACCCUAAUGUGAACAUGGACUUCGGAUGAUGAUGUCGGUUCAUUGAAAACACCCAGAGUGAACCCUAAUGUGAACAUGGACUUUGGAUGAUGAUGUGGGUUCAUCGAUUGUACCAAAAAUGCCUCUGUGGUACAGGAUGCUGACGGUGCGGAAGGCCACGAGUGUGUGGAGCAGGGGUAUAUGGGAACUCUCUGUACCUUCCACUUAAAUUUGUUGUGAACCUAAAAUUGCUCUA
rnacentral:lncRNA from 1 species